UACGUAGGGGGCAAGCGUUGUCCGGAUUUAUUGGGCGUAAAGAGCGUGUAGGCGGUUUGGUAGGUCCGUUGUGAAAACUCGAGGCUCAACCUCGAGACGCCGAUGGAAACCAUCGAACUAGAGUCCGGAAGAGGAGAGUGGAAUUCCUGGUGUAGCGGUGAAAUGCGCAGAUAUCAGGAAGAACACCCGUGGCUAAGGCGGCUCUCUAGUACGGUACUGACGCUGAGACGCGAAAGCGUGGGGAGCAAACAGG
rnacentral:rRNA from 1 species